UCCUCCCUCUGUCGGCGUGCUUAACACAUGCAAGUCGAACGGAAAGGCCCCUUUGGGGGUACUCGAGUGGCGAACGGGUGAGUAACACGUGAGUAACCUGCCCUUGACUUCGGGAUAACUUCAGGAAACUGGGGCUAAUACCGGAUAGGAAUCCUUGCUGCAUGGUGGGGGUUGGAAAGCUUCGGCGGUUUUGGAUGGACUCGCGGCUUAUCAGCUUGUUGGUGGGGUAGUGGCUUACCAAGGCUUUGACGGGUAGCCGGCCUGAGAGGGCGACCGGCCACAUUGGGACUGAGAGACGGCCCAGACUCCUACGGGAGGCAGCAGUGGGGAAUAUUGCACAAGGGGCGGAAGCCUGAUGCAGCAACGCCGCGGGCGGGAGGACGGCCUUCGGGUUGUAAACCGCUUUCAGCAGGGGCGAAGCUUGUGGUGACGGUACCUGCAGAAGAAGCACCGGCUAACUACGUG
rnacentral:rRNA from 1 species